UACGGGAGGCAGCAGGGGGGAAUAUUGCACAAUGGGCGCAAGCCUGAUGCAGCCAUGCCGCGUGUAUGAAGAAGGCCUUCGGGUUGUAAAGUACUUUCAGUCGUGAGGAAGGUGUUAAGGUUAAUAACCUUAGCAAUUGACGUUAGCGACAGAAGAAGCACCGGCUAACUCCGUGCCAGCAGCCGCGGUAAUACGGAGGGUGCGAGCGUUAAUCGGAAUUACUGGGCGUAAAGGGCACGCAGGCGGUUAAUUAAGUUGGAUGUGAAAUCCCCGGGCUUAACCUGGGAAUGGCAUUCAAGACUGGUUAGCUAGAGUCUUGUAGAGGGGGUAGAAUUCCAUGUGUAGCGGUGAAAUGCGUGGAGAUGUGGAGGAAUACCGGUGGCGAAGGCGGCCCCUGGACAAAGACUGACGCUCAUGUGCGAAGCGUGGGGAGCAAACGAGGAUUAGAUA
rnacentral:rRNA from 1 species